rnacentral:rRNA from 1 species
CCCUUAGAUGUCCGGGGCCGCACGCGCGCUACACUGAAGGAAUCAGCGUGGCUUUCUCCCUGACCCGAAAGGGUGGGGAAACCCGUUGAAUCUCCUUCGUGAUAGGGAUUGGGGCUUGAAAUUGUUCCCCAUGAACGAGGAAUUCCCAGUAAGCGCGAGUCAUAAGCUCGCGUUGAUUACGUCCCUGCCCUUUGUACACACCGCCCGUCGCUACUACCGAUUGAACGGUUUAGUGAGGGCCUCGGAUUGGUCUCGGCCCGCUCUUUACCGGGCGGCGCCGUUGGUCGAGAAGACGCUCGAACUUGAUCGUUUAGAGGAAGUAAAAGUCGUAACA